UACCUACGGGGGGCAGCAGUGAGGAAUAUUGGUCAAUGGUCGGGAGACUGAACCAGCCAAGUCGCGUGAGGGAGUACUGCCCUAUGGGUUGUAAACCUCUUUUGUCGGGGAGCAAAAGCCGGACGUGUCCGGCUGUGAGAGUACCCGAAGAAAAAGCAUCGGCUAACUCCGUGCCAGCAGCCGCGGUAAUACGGAGGAUGCGAGCGUUAUCCGGAUUUAUUGGGUUUAAAGGGUGCGCAGGCGGCCUGUUAAGUCAGCGGUAAAAGCCCGGGGCUCAACCCCGGCGAGCCGUUGAAACUGGCGGG
rnacentral:rRNA from 1 species